rnacentral:rRNA from 1 species
CCUACGGGGGGCAGCAGUGAGGAAUAUUGGUCAAUGGGCGUAAGCCUGAACCAGCCAAGUCGCGUGCAGGAUGACGGCCCUACGGAUUGUAAACUGCUUUUAUACGGGAAUAACGCGCCUUACGUGUAGAGCUUUGCAUGUACCGUAUGAAUAAGGACCGGCUAAUUCCGUGCCAGCAGCCGCGGUAAUACGGAAGGUCCGGGCGUUGUCCGGAUUUAUUGGGUUUAAAGGGAGCGUAGGCGGCAUGUAAAGGGUGAUGUGAAAUGUCCGGGCGCAACCGGGGCCUUGCAGUGCGAACUGGGGUGGUUGAGUCCGCGUAGAGCAGGCGGAAUUCGUGGUGUAGCGGGGAAAUGCGUAGAUAUGACGAAGAACCCCGAUUGCGAAGGCAGCUUGCUGCAGCGGAACUGACGCUGAUGCUCGAAAGCGGGGGUAUCGAACAGGAUUAGAUACCCGUGUAGUC